GUGCCCUUAACUUACUGAGCCAUCUCUCCAGCCCAGGAGUCUAUAAUAUCAGACAGACUGCCAGAUCCUGACAGUGACCCAAAGUCUCCAAAGAAGAUUACGAGGCACCCCAGUUCCUGCACCUGGAUGAUGAAGCUGACCAGUGAACAAGAUGCUCAGAUGCAACACCUACUACCAGGACCUGGCCCAGACUGUGGACAAAACUUCUGGAUACUGGAAAAUUGACUGCACCCCCUUUGCCUAGACAAAACAAGUUUAAACAUGUCUUAAACAGGUUUCUGCUUCUGGUAGACACAUCUCAGUGUCAGCUGCUGACUACAGCCUGCUUCUAAGGACUGCAAGCCCUGGACUUGCUGUGGAUCUGAACCAGUCCAGCCCACGUGGACACCCUCUGUCCCUUCAACAGAGUCUGCCAACCAGCCGCUUCCUCAUUGCCUAAAUUGCCUUUUUGCUUUUGAUUAGAAUUUCAGCCCUCUUGGCUCCCUAACUGCAUCCCAAAGUCAGCAGGAGGUAGCAUGAGAAAGAAUAUGUUGCCCAUUUUCCCUGGUUGAAAUGCUAAUUCAAAAAGGAAACUCCCUUACAUAGGGGACAGUAUGACAACAGAUGCAAAUGUCACUCCCUCAGAAAAAUCUGUCAGCUAAUGGCAGGGCCCUUUAACACACCUUUGAGCCCCUAACAUUCAGGACUCAGGAUUGAGUCCUGUCAUGGAUAUUUUGAGAAGUGGGGAAUGAAGGGACCAGCAAGCCCCCCUCCCCCGUUUUGGCAGCUAUGACAGGCUAACACGUGCUUGCCUGACCUUUCUGAGCAUGUCAUGGUCACCAGAAGGUCAGAUGCCCACCUCAUGGCAAGGAACCAAUCAGAAGUUAGCUAGUGGGGCUAUGCUUUAUGCCUGUGGGUGUGCUUUACGCACAAGUGCACAGCAGUGAUGUGCAGAGCAUAGCAACCGCCCUGGGAGAGCCUAUGGGCCAUAACAGCCAGUUAACCAAUCAACACAGGGCAGGUCUCCAAGCCUGGAGGUAUACCAAUCCUGAGAUUAUGCAUACCCCUAGACACUCCCCUUACACUGCCCUAUAAGACCUUUGUCUGGUGGUUUCUCCAGGUCUUUUCCCAGCCAUCCGCCAUGGUGGAAGGAGGAAAGGCCUGAGCUAAUGGGGAUAGCUCGUUAAACAACUGCAAUAAAAGACUCAUUGCUUUUGCAUCAAAAUGGGCCUCUUGGUAAUUUUGGGGUUCAGAAUUUGGGCACAACAAGGAUACUUCUAAUGUUGUACAAAAUGCAGCUAAGAAUCCAAGAGAGAUAAGAGAAUAAGUGAUGGAAAUGUGAUAAAGUAGGCUUAAAUGAUAAUGGUGUAAUCUUGAUUUAUAUCCAGUUGCAUAUAGUAGAAUUCUAAAUUUCUUAUAUAUGUUUCAAAUUUUUAAGCUAAAAAUAAUUAAAAGGAAAAGAGGCUGGAAGGAAAUUUUAAUGUAUAGAUAUCCUUUGAAUCAUAAUUUGGACACACCAAGUAUAAACUAUUUUUAUUUGUGAAAUUCUGUGAUCGUGACUGCUACCUCAUUACUUUUAGUCCUGUGUGGGAGUUGCUGUUGAUCUCUGGGUACCACAGUCUUCAUCUUACACUUGAGAGUGGCUGCUCUGAGCUCAGCCUGCUACAUCUCCUUCCCAAAGACAUUCUCUGCCUACUGAAGUUCUGUUUUCUGUUCACAUGAUUUUCUUUACAGGCAAAGGAGAAAUUCCUGUGAUGAGCAAUUCAGUUCUAAUCACUAUGUGACCUUGAAAACAGAGUGAAAUGAAGAUUGAUGGAUGAUUGCUAGUGGUGAGGGAGGAGAAAGGGAGGGUGUGACUAUGAAGGGGAAGUAUGAAGGAAAUGGUUGUGGCAAUGGAACAGUAUGGCAUCUUGAUUGUACUGUGCCUUUAUGAACCUAUGCAGUUAUACAGAAAUAUAUAUAUA